GUCGGUCUUCGGUAGUGGCCUGUCGGGCAAGUGUCCGGCCGGCUUCGAUCGAUGGCCGCC
rfam:Rhodococcus fascians strain 1168 contig529, whole genome shotgun sequence.